rnacentral:rRNA from 1 species
UACGGAGGGUGCGAGCGUUGUUCGGAAUCACUGGGCGUAAAGCGCGUGUAGGCGGCCUGCUAAGUCUGAUGUGAAAGCCCGAGGCUCACCCUCGGAAGUGCAUUGGAAACUGGCAGACUGGAGUCCCGGAGAGGAGGGUGGAAUUCCUGGUGUAGCGGUGAAAUGCGUAGAUAUCAGGAGGAACACCAGUGGCGAAGGCGGCAUCCUGGCCCUGUCCUGACGCUCAGGGGCGAAAGCGUGGGGAGCAAACCGG